rnacentral:rRNA from 1 species
AGAGUUUGAUCCUGGCUCAGAAUGAACGCUGGCGGCAUGGAUUAGGCAUGCAAGUCGAACGUGAAACCCACUUCGGUGGGUGGAAAGUGGCGAAAGGGUGAGGAACACGUGAGUAACCUGCCCCCGAGUUCGGAAUAGCCCCGGGAAACCGGGAAUAAUACCGGAUGUGGCUCUCUGCUUUAUGGCGGAGCGGCUAAAGAUUUAUCACUCGGGGAUGGGCUCGCGGCCCAUCAGUUUGUUGGUGAGGUAACGGCUCACCAAGACUACGACGGGUAGCUGGUCUGAGAGGAUGGUCAGCCACACUGGGACUGAGACACUGCCCAGACUCCUACGGGAGGCUGCAGUCGAGAAUCAUCCGCAAUGGGCGAAAGCCUGACGGUGCAAUGCCGCGUGGGGGAUGAAGGCCCUCGGGUCGUAAACCCCUGUCAGGAGGGACGAAGAAGUGACGGUACCUCCAGAGGAAGCCACGGCUAACUACGUGCCAGCAGCCGCGGUAAUACGUAGGUGGCGAGCGUUAUUCGGAUUUACUGGGCGUAAAGGGUCCGCAGGGGGUUUGCCAAGUCUGGUGUGAAAUCUCACAGUUCAACUGUGAAACUGCGCUGGAUACUGGUGAACUAGAGUGCGCGAGGGGUGAGUGGAAUUCCUGGUGUAGCGGUGGAAUGCGUAGAUAUCAGGAAGAACACCAACGGCGAAGGCAGCUCACUGGCGCGCAACUGACCCUCAUGGACGAAAGCGUGGGUAGCAAACAGGAUUAGAUACCCUGGUAGUCCACGCUGUAAACGGUGCAGACUCGAUGCGGGAUGGAUUUGGUCCCUUCCGUGUCCAAGCUAACGCGUUAAGUCUGCCGCCUGGGGACUACGGCCGCAAGGCUAAAACUCAAAGGAAUUGACGGGGGCCCGCACAAGCGGUGGAGCAUGUGGCUUAAUUCGAGGCAACGCGAAGAACCUUACCUGGGUUUGACAUAUACUUGCCGACCGUGGAAACAUGGUUUUCUCUUCGGAGACGAGUAUACAGGUGCUGCAUGGCUGUCGUCAGCUCGUGCCGUGAGGUGUUCGGUUAAGUCCGGCAACGAGCGCAACCCAUGUGAUUAGUUGCCAGCAGGUAAUGCUGGGCACUCUAGUCAGACUGCCCGUGUCAAGCGGGAGGAAGGCGUGGAUGACGUCAAGUCCGUAUGGCCCUUAUGUCCAGGGCUGCACACGUGCUACAAUGGGCGGCACAGAAGGAAGCGAUAUCGCGAGAUGGAGCAAAUCCCGAAAACCGUCCCCAGUUCGGAUUGGAGUCUGUAACUCGACUCCAUGAAGUCGGAAUCGCUAGUAAAGGCGUAUCAGCAACGACGCCUUGAAUACGUUCCCGGGCCUUGUACACACCGCCCGUCACAUCAUGGAAGCCGGUUGCACCUGAAGUCGUUGACCUAACCUUUGGGAAGGAGACGCCGAAGGUGUGUCUGGUAACUGGGAUGAAGUCGAAACAAGGUA